AAUUGAAGGCCAGGCAUGGUGGCUCACACCUGUAAUCCUAGCAUUUUGGGAGGCUGAGGUGGGUGGAUCAUUUGAGGUCAGGUGUUCAAGACCAGCCUGGCCAACAUGGUGAAACUCUGUCUCUACUUAAAAUACAAAAAUUAGCCAGGUGUGCCUCCCUAGUAGCUGGGACCACAGAUAUACACCCUCAAGCCUCACUAAUUUAAAAAGUUUUUUUUUGUAGAGACGGGGUCUCAUCAUGUUGCCCAGGCUCGUCUUGAACUCCUGGCCUCAAGUAACCCUCCCACCUCGGCCUCACAAAGUGCUAAGAUUAUAGGUGUAAGCCACCAUGCCCAGCCUUAGUUCUGCUUCUCUGGAGAACACUAAUACAGUAGGCUUCAAUCCUUAGAAGGGCUGGUCUACUUUGGCUCACUCUUUCUUUCAGGGUAUAACCCUUCAGGGUCUCAUUUGAAAUGUCUUACCUCCUUGGUGGCCUAACUCCGAUUUUUAGGCUCCCAGUCAACUUGAAGUCAGUAAGUCAACUGAAAGAUUGUUCAGCUCCUCAGCUAUUGUUUUCAAAUUGGCAAAUACUUUAAGGGAGGAAGUUAUGUUAUAGUCCCCUUUCUGGAAUUUCCUUUAUUUUGGGUCUUUUGUUCUAUAAAUCCUAACUAUUUUGAUAGUUCUCCAAUGCCUUCAAACAGGUUAAAAAUAUUUAGUCUAGCUUUUAUAGCUGUUCUCAGUAGAACAAAACCAGCCAACCCACUUAUUUCAUCACUGAGUUUUAAUUUUAAUGAAUAUUUAAAUAUUUUCCAGAAUUUUUUCUUUUUUCUUUCUUUCUUUUUUAGACAGAAUUUUGCUCUGUUCCCCAGGCUGGAAUGCACUGGUGCAAUCACAGCUUAUUGCACCCCUGAUCUCCUGAGCUCAAGCAAUCCUCCUAUCUCAGCAUCCUGAGUAGCCAGAACUAUAGGCACACCACUACACCUAGCUUUUUCUUUUGCCAGGUUUAAAAUUGUUUCCUUAAAAAAUAUUGCCCAAUCUUUUCUUUUGCAUAGUGUCUUGUCCACUUUGUAUAGUUUCUACAG